ACGUACAGUGUUCUGUAUGUCUUAUAUGUUAUGCAUGGUAUAGGCCUACAUGUAUUGUGUUCUGUUUUGUGUAGUAUGUUUGUGUUGUUGUUCUGUCUCCUCCUCCUGUUUUCAUUCUCCAAAUUCUCAGACGUGCACACCUGGUCCCAAUCACCAAAUCACCACACCUGUUCCAGAUCUCCCAUCAACCAUUCCCCUUUAAAUAGUCCUGUGUUUGUUUGUCAGGGUUGUGUGCUUUGGUUUGAGCUGUGGCAGAGCUUUGGUUGAGCUCUGUUGGCUGGUUUUUGGAGUUGCUUGCGAGUGCUUGGUUUCUUUGUUGGUUUAUUGUAUUGUCUUUAGUUAUUACACAUUUGUUUAAACCUUAUUACUUUAGUUGUUAGCAGCCUACUUUAGUUUUGUCUUUGUCUUUGUUAAUUCUUUUGUUGUGCGCACAGGGUCAAUAAGGAUAGGUAAGCUACCCUGGGGUUUACAUAUUUCAUACACGUAGGUUUACCUGUUGUUAAUACCCUAGGUUAGAGUGAGCACCACCCACUGUACUUUUUGGGUGCAAAGCACCUGUCAAUGGGGGGGUGGGUUUUGUUAUGUUCUUUUCUUUGGUGCCACUGACAGUCCUUGUUGAUCCCUGUGUUGCCUUUUUUGUAAAUAAACACUUUAUAUUGAA